rnacentral:rRNA from 1 species
UGGGGAAUAUUGGGCAAUGGGGGGAACCCUGACCCAGCAACGCCGCGUGAAGGAAGAAGGUUUUCGGAUUGUAAACUUCUGUCCUUGGUGAAGAGGAAGAGACGGUAGCCAAGGAGGAAGCCCCGGCUAACUACGUGCCAGCAGCCGCGGUAAUACGUAGGGGGCAAGCGUUAUCCGGAAUUAUUGGGCGUAAAGAGUGCGUAGGUGGUCGUGUAAGCGCGGGGUGAAAGGCUAUGGCUUAACCAUGGUAAGCCUUGCGAACUGUAAGACUUGAGUGCAGGAGAGGAAAGCGGAAUUCCUAGUGUAGCGGUGAAAUGCGUAGAUAUUAGGAGGAACACCAGUGGCGAAGGCGGCUUUCUGGACUGUAACUGACACUGAGGCACGAAAGCGUGGGGAGCAAACAGG